AUUGUUUAAAAGGACAGUUGUUUGAGAGAUACAAAGAGUUUGUAAUGAGAUACCUUCUUACUGCAAAUGAAAACAACAUAAAUAUCACAGCUAUUGAGUUUCUCAACGAAAUGUAAGUGGUCCCAUUCACUAGUGUAAAAUACAACAAACAUUACCAGCAGAGUUGGUUGAGGUGAAUACACGCUCUAACUAAGUGUGGCGGGGUUAAUUCAAAACAAAAUGAUGAUGAAAACAUUCGAAAAAAUUUGGUUACACAACGAUUCAAUCCUGUCGACGCUACAUAUCUUUGUUUAAUUUAAUACAAAGACACAACCAUAAUAAUUUAUUGAAAGUAUUCAAACUUACUCAGCAAAUCAUAUACUCCCUCCGGUCUUUAAUAUAAGAGAGUUUGUUUUUUAGAUUCAUAGAAUGUUGAAUGUAUUUGAUCUAUUUUUAGUCCAAAUACAUUAAUCAUUGCAUGAAUCUAAAAAGUUAACUUUUUCUUAUAUUAAGGACCGGAGGGAGUACUAUAUUGUUUAAAAGGACAGUUGUUUGAGAGAUACAAAGAGUUUGUAAUGAGAUACCUUCUUACUGCAAAUAAAAACAACAUAAAUAUCACAGCUAUUGAGUUUCUCAACGAAAUGUAAGUGGUCCCAUUCACUAGUGUAAAAUACAACAAACAUUACUAACAGAGUUGGUUGAGGUGAAUACACGCUCUAACUAACCUCUAUGAAGAGAACCCGAGUUCAAUUCUUACGGGGUGUACCGGUUGGAAGAUGCAAAAUCCAACAAAUUAAUUCUGGUGUGUGCAGCCUAACGGGGUAUAAAAUAAUGGCCAGUCCAAAAGGCU
rnacentral:lncRNA from 1 species